AUUUUUAUAGAAAAACCCUUUGGUCUCCCAAAAGGUUUGGAUUUCCACUUUUCUUUAGUGGUGUACUUUCUAAUGCUUUUAUACAUAUAUAGAAUUUCAAACCAUCCACUUGUCAACCGAUGUUGUCCACUUAAAGUUUUAAAGAGAAUUUCUGUUUUUUUGUUGAGCCGUGCUGACAAAAAGGGGGAAAAUGACACACUUGGCUCUGAAGAUUUUUCUGCUUUAUGGCGUGGUUCAAAACCACCCUUCUCCAUGUGGACAAGGAGCGGCUAGGCUCUACUGCUGUCAGCAUGACCAGCCUGCGGUCCCUCAACUCUGAUGAGAUCGAACUGUUUCACAUGGGUAGCGACCAAAAACGCGAUCCCAAACCUUAACUGGAUCCAGAACCCAAACCAGAUCCAGAGGAGGAAAAGAACUGUGAGGGCAUCAGCCCUUCCCUCCUGAGACCUGGGCCACCUCCGGCAGGGGUGCAUGUUUUAAUCUAAUUUACAGGUUGGACGUCAGACGGGUGGAGGGAUCACAGGUGCAGGCUAUCACAAUCAGCAACCUUGAAAAGCCAGUGGACGCCUCACUCAUUGCCAGAUCAACUCAUCUAGUUCUGCUGACCUGUCUCUGCGCACCCCACGUCAGAACCUCAAGCCUGUUUUUUUCCCCCUGAUCCUUGUCUGCAUCCUGCAACUUGAUGGAUGCAUGUCUAUAUGCUCCGGGAUCUGUUAAAAAUAAAAUGUUGAUCAAAG